rnacentral:lncRNA from 1 species
AGUGGGCCACCCACUUAAGAUUUCCUACAGCUAUGAAAUACUUAUUCCUUUGUAACAAAGGAUAAACUAUCAAGAAUGAAAUUUGAAUGUCUUAAGGAAUGGCUGACCGCGAGUUUCCAACUUUUUGUAAUUAGUUUGCUUCAUGUUUCAUCAAAAUGAAUUCAUGUGUUGCCUUAGAAUCCAAUUGAAUCUCUUAUAGAGGGUGGCUGGCCGUGAGUUCUUCAAGGAGCAAAAUAAUUCCAUACCAAAAUUAGAUAAUGUUGGUUGUUGAUUCUAUAAAGCGUGAAUUGCAAAUUCUAAGAGAAUCGGUUUAGGUAUGUUAAGGCUAAUCCUUCUUUCUUUUUUUGGCAUGAUCCAAGUAACGAUGCUUAACUGUAAUGCUAUUUUAUAAGUGUUUUUACUCUUAGUGGUAAAGGAUGUCUAUAUUAUUCAUUUCUUUAAAAUAAUAAGGAAGGAAAUUUUAAUGUUGAUGUAACUAACGGCUUUAUAAGCAAAUCCUUAAGAAUGUUUUUUAGCGAGAAUUGCUAUAAAGUGAGAGUGAAUAGAUCAUCUACAUCACUGUGAGAGAUUCUGCAAUUUGAGGCCGAGUAUAGUCAUAUUGAUCAAUUUUGGAGUGAUUAGGCUAGUUCAUGCCUUUUAAUCACUAAGAGCAAAGUAAUGGUUAACAUGGGAAUCGAGAUGAUAUUAUCAUGGUAGCCAUUGGAGAAGUAACAUGUUCAUUUCAGUCUUGGGGUAUAGUUCGUUUAUCCUUACAAUAGUUCAUUCUUUUUGUCCAAAUUGAUUAGGCUCAUGUAUUUUACUGACUUAUGGCAUAUGUGAAUGGCCAAAUGAAAGGUGCUUCAACCAAUCAUGCAUUUACCACCGUGUUACAGCUAGUCGGGCAGUUACUAUCGGUUGGGUAGUUAUGUAUUAUUAUUUACAACCGGUUGGGCAGUCAUGCAUAUACAUUUACCACCGAGCUACGACCGAUUGGGUAGUUACACAUUUACCAUCGAGCUACGGCCGGUCGGGCAGUUAUACAUUUACCACCUAUGAAAGCUGAUCGGGUAGUUACCACUGAUCAGUUGGGCAGUCAUGCAUCAUACGAUAUGGGUGAUAGAAACGGUCCCAAAGAGGAUCAUUAUAUAUGUAAGCAUGAUAAGUAUGCAUAUAUAGUGGCACUUCAGAGAUUCAGGUUGAUUCUUAUAUGUCUUUAAAGUAAUGUUGACUUAUUAUUAUGUUUCAGUUCUGCCUUAUAUACUCAGUACAUUAUUCGUACUAAUGUCCUUUUGUUGGGGACACUGCAUUCAUGCCUGCAGGUAUAGACAAUCAGCAUGACGAGCCUUUAGAGUAGACGAGGUUAGUGUUUAACGAAGGAUCAUCGCUAAGACUCCACCUUAUUCAGAGUGCAGCCGAGUCUAUAAGUCAUCGUGUCAGAGUUUUGGUAGAGACUAAUGGGAAGGCCGGUACCCUGUCCCAUUUGAUGUCAAGUAAUCUUAGAGGCUUUAUUGUGAGGCCCUGUGAAAACUGUUCGGACCCUUUAUACUGAUCUAGCAUUUAAAAGUCAACAAAUACUGUUUUCCAGAAAAAUAUGAUUCUGCGGUUGAGAAUGCGGUCGCAUAUCAGGUAUGUAGACCGCAUAAUCGCCGCAAAGUGAGUUAGUGUGUUGGUCGAAUUUGAGGUUAAAUAUGCGGUCCAAUAUGCAAUCGCAUAACUGGUAUGCGGACCACAUUUCUGCCGCGAACCCAAACAGAAUGUUCAGAGUUUUGGAGCACUUUCGCGGUCUAUUAUGCGGAACGCAUUUCCUCUUUGCGAUCGCAUACCUGACCCGGGGCUCCAAUUUUCUAACUUUUAAACCCGACCCCUUCUUCGGUAAAAAACCCCAACCUCUCAUUUUAACAUAUUUUCUGAAUAAAACUAAAGAGAGGAAAGAGAGGAUUCUUGAGAGAUAAAGUCCUACCUUCAUCAAUUUGAUUCUUCAAAGUCACUCGGGCCGAGAAACUUCAAAUAAUUGUCUUUAUCUCCAUUGUUGCAGGUAAAAUCCCCAACCUUUUUUCAUUUGUUUUCAGAUUUAAACAAAAAGGGGGAUUCUCAUGCAUUGAUUCUUGAAAAUGGAAGUUGAAAUACACGUGUAUGUCCUUUAAAACCUAAAAUCUAGUAAGAGGAAUUGGGUAGAAAUAAAGAUUUGCAAAAGAGGGGUUGAUGACCUAAGUAAGUUCGGGUUGAGUUUGUGAACUUCAAUUCUAAGUUAUAUAUGUUAACUUGUGAACUAGAUUGACGGUACUAGGUUGUUAGUGAAGUGAAAGUAGAAGUUAAAAAGGGAAUUCGACUCCACGUAUGUAUGACUAUCUUUAACCUUUGUAAAGUCACCUUGUUUGGUGUACGAGUAAUUGGUAUGUAUUACUUAUGUGGACUAUUUGCGAACUCUUGUGAUUAAUAUGCCUUGAACGUUGUUGGUUAAGUCUCCCGAUAUAAUGGUGUAAGUAAAUGGCAACAAACCAAGUGUGUGUGUGUGUGAAUGUGCUUAUGUGGUAAGAGCUGUGUAACAAAUGAUGGAAAGAAAUCAUAAUUGAUGCAAUUGAAACAACUGUGGUAAUACCAUACGUGACUUGCCGCGGGCAAUUAUCGUUGUGACUUAAAUUUUAUACGGGUUGUUUCAUAUGAUGGAAAUGGUAUUGAUUUUUAUGAAAAUUAUUUGUGAAUUGUUGUUGUUGUCAUGUGAAAUGUUAUUAUCCGGUAGGAUCGGGUUGCGCGCCACAACACGAAGUUAUAAAGUGUGGGUUGUGGUGAUAAGGGUAGCCGAGGUAAUAAGGGUGGCCGAGGUAAUAAGGGUGGAAAAGUGAUCGAAAUCACUAUUGAAAUAAAAAUAUCUGAAAGUUGUAAAAUCAUUGAUGUGAUGAAGUCAUGUUGAAAGGGGUAAAGGAGAGAUUGUGGAACUUGUUUGGCUUUGGUUGUUCCUUUCAUGUGCGUUUGAUUGUUGAUUCUAUUACUGUUUGUUAUCUGUGUAUUGAUUGAUUUUACUUGGGGUAAAGUUUGUUCAUACAUACCAGUACAAUUCAAAUGUACUGACGUCCCUUUUGUUGGGGGCAUUACAUUCGUGUUAUGAUUGUAGGUGGUUCCAUAGCAGGUACUCCAGUCCACCGACAGUAGCACUCCUCCACUUUCCGUCAGCUGUAUUGGUGAGCCCCUUUUCCUCUUGGGGCCCUGCGUGGCUCAUGCCGCUUUUCCUCCCGGAAAUCUUAUUUUGGUAUUUGCAUAAGGUAUAGUCGGAACCUUGUUACCGGCAAGUACUAUAACACUAUUUUGUAUCCCUAGAGGCUCUAGACAGCAAAUGUGGGUUAUGUACUUAUGUAUUUUGGGCAGUAUACCUUGUAAGCCACGCUAAGUAACUAUGUAUGUUAUGUAAAUCUCGUAAGAAUGUGUUUAAAUUUAUAAAUGGCU